GUUGUAAUUAGUGCAGCGCGGUCCCACUUCCUUAAAACCGGACUACACGUGCUUAUUUCAAACCCUGUUUACUUCAGCACGCUGCGCUAUCUCCAGCCGUGAGGGUGAGGUGAGGGUGGCCCCACAGUGAAGACACCUUGACCGCUGGCGUUGUGAGCACUGAUCGCGGCUGUGAUCGAUGGGACGCACGCAUAUGAGGGGCAUUAUCUGUGUAAAAUACAUCGCCACCACAAAUAAACACCAGGAUUUCCAGAUUUCUGCUUCAUUUGUGUUUGGGGUUGAAUAUUUCCGGGGGUGAGUUGAGGAUAAUGUGAAAUGUGUAAUGUAAGAUGUGCUUGUGUGCGUUUCUUAUGGAAUCAAAGUUGCAUUCAGCUGGGAUAACCAGUAAACCAGUCUAUUUUGAAACACAGACUCAAGAGGAAACGCAUGCUCAAACUACAUGCUCAUUAUCUUCAACAGAGAUGUUUAAAGAUACCCUCGACAACACCAGUCAACUGACAUUGUGCCCUUUCAGACACCUCGGUUUCGUAUCUACCUAAGACUGGAACCAUCGGAUCGGAACGCUUUCUUCUGCCAAUUACCACUUGUCACACUAUAUAUUUGUCAGUUAUUCUCAAUUGGACCUCAUUUGGCUGCUCUGCUUAGCAUUAUGCAGAGUCCUCACCUGGCCUCACAGCAGUAUAGGCUACUCAAUAAAACCUUAAAGUAUGUGA